GCUUAUGUAGUUUAUUGAAAAUUUAACACUGAAGCUGUUAAGAUAGACCCUAAUAAGUCUCGUGAGCA
rnacentral:tRNA from 1 species